CCCUUAGAUGUCCUGGGCCGCACGCGCGCUACACUGACAUGUUCAACAAGCCUCCUAGUUCGACAGGAUUUGGGAAAUCUUUGAACGCAUGUCGUGAUAGGGAUAGAUCAUUGCAAUUAUUGAUCUUGAACGGGGAAUUCCUAGUAAACGCGAGUCAUCAGCUCGCAUUGAUUACGUCCCUGCCCUUUGUACACACCGCCCGUCGCACCUACCGAUUGAAUGUUUCGGUGAAGAUUCCGGAUAGGACUUUUUUGAUUUAUUUCAAUUUUGUCUUAAAAGCUAUCUAAACCUCAACAUUUAGAGGAAGGUGAAGUCGUAACA
rnacentral:rRNA from 1 species